CCUACGGGAGGCAGCAGUGAGGAAUAUUGGUCAAUGGACGCGAGUCUGAACCAGCCAUGCCGCGUGCAGGAAGACUGCCCUCUGGGUUGUAAACUUCUUUUAUACGGGAGUAAACCGAGCCACGCGUACCUUUUUGCAUGUACUUUACGAAUAAGGAUCGGCUAACUCCGUGCCAGCAGCCGCGGUAAUACGGAGGAUUCGAGCGUUAUCCGGAUUUAUUGGGUUUAAAGGGUGCGUAGGUGGUUUGUUAAGUUAGUGGUGAAAGUCUGAGGCUCAACUGUAGAAUUGCAAUUGAUACUGGCAGGCUUGAGAGUAGUUGAGGUAGGGGGAAUGCAUGGUGUAGCGGUGAAAUGCUUAGAGAUCACGAAGAACCCCGAUUGCGAAGGCAGCUUACUAAGCUAUGACUGACGUUGAGGCACGAAAGCGUGGGGAGCAAACAGGAUUAGAUACCCGAGUAGUC
rnacentral:rRNA from 1 species